CACAAUAAAAGGAAAAAUUUGAAAACAAAACAUUAGAAGAAAGGACUUCUGCGCGAUGCGCGCCAAUACACAAGGGCUCAAUCUGGAAAUAAUCCAGGCUAUCAAAACGCAGCUCAUAUGCCCGGACUAGACUGCAAAAUCAUGCAAAUUAUAAGGGCCGAAUUCAAAAGAAAUAAAUCUGGAUUGGGCCUAAUCGAACCACUGUACGAAGGGAGAGGACCAAUCUUGGAAAUAACCCUUCACCGCGAAAACACGCGGGUCCUGAGGGUUAAAGAGCUGAAUCGGGCCGGGCUAAAGAGGAGUGGCCUGGAUGGUGUCGUUUGAGACCACUAUUAUCGGUCUAAACUGCACCGUUUCCUAAUCCCUUAUAACCUCUAAUAAAACACCCCAUUUCAGCUGAAACCCCAUUCUUUUUCUCCUUUUCCAAACCCUAAAACUUCCCUCCUAAAGCUGCCGAUUCUCCUUCCCCUAGGAGCCAACAGAUUUAGGCUGGGGAAAACGCUUUACAGCCCUUCGAUCUCCUCUUGACUUCGAUUUCGACUAAGUAAGAGGAGAUCCAUGGCAUAUCCUCCAGGUAAACUCCCAUUUUCCUUUUUUAAUCAAACUUUCGAAUAAAGAAAAAGAUCAACAAAACAAAAAAAGAAAAAGAGAUCCAUUCGAAAGGGAACGCCCAGAGAUUUGAGUCAGGAAAUCACCUUUAGAAAAAUGGUUGCUUUGUAUUGCUUGAGUUUUUGUGUUUUUUGUUGCGUAUUUGCGCGUAAAAAAAAAAACUACAAUGAGCAGAGGCUUUGGCUUUAUAGCCGAAACAAAAAUAAGAAAUAUUCAAAAAUAAAAAUAAAAAUCGAAUACAAAUUCUCAUUUUGUUGUUGUCUUUUUUGUAUGUAUUUGCUACUGUGGUUUGUUCUCUUUCGCAGGUACGGGUGCUGUGCUGGCGUAUGGAGGCUUGGCGUGGUUGCUGGAGGCGUUGUACGGAGCGUACGGCGCUGGGGGAGGGCUGUUGCGGCGUAGGCAUGUCGCUAGGGUUUCUGUCUUGGUUUCAGUAUUUGGGUUAUACAAGUUUGGGUUAGGGCUUUGGUUAUUGGGCCAUGUAAUUGGACUGAGGGACUGUUUGGGUCUUUAUGCUUGUAAUAGGACAUUAAUGGACUAUCAUAAUAAUUUUUAUUUUUGUUGUAAUAAUUUUGGUUUUGUAUUUACACGGGCCCGGGCCAAAAUUGGUCCUUACAAACAUACAAUACCUUAAUUUACUUUUCUGAAUCAUAUAAUUGCCAUGAAUGUGGAUUAAGAAUAUUUAUGUUUAUGUUAAUUAUGAAAAUAUCAAACUAUAAUUUAAAUUAUAUGUUUGACCAUACGUAAAUCCUUACCUACUAUUUCAAACAAAAAUAUUUUUAUUUUUAUUACUAGAAAAUUAGCUUAAAUAAUUUUGAUUUGCAUAUUAAAGCAACGGUAUUUGUGCCAAUUUCUAGUUUUUUCUCCCCACUAAUAUGCUUAAUUAUAUGGAGCGAAAUAGCAA
rnacentral:lncRNA from 1 species